GAUGAACGCUGGCGGCGUGCCUAAUACAUGCAAGUCGAGCGAACGGACGAGAAGCUUGCUUCUCUGAUGUUAGCGGCGGACGGGUGAGUAACACGUGGAUAACCUACCUAUAAGACUGGGAUAACUUCGGGAAACCGGAGCUAAUACCGGAUAAUAUUUUGAACCGCAUGGUUCAAAAGUGAAAGACGGUCUUGCUGUCACUUAUAGAUGGAUCCGCGCUGCAUUAGCUAGUUGGUAAGGUAACGGCUUACCAAGGCAACGAUGCAUAGCCGACCUGAGAGGGUGAUCGGCUACACUGGAACUGAGACACGGUCCAGACGCCUACGGGAGGCAGCAGUAGGGAAUCUUCCGCAAUGGGCGAAAGCCUGACGGAGCAACGCCGCGUGAGUGAUGAAGGUCUUCGGAUCGUAAAACUCUGUUAUUAGGGAAGAACAUAUGUGUAAGUAACUGUGCACAUCUUGACGGUACCUAAUCAGAAAGCCACGGCUAACUACGUG
rnacentral:rRNA from 1 species